rnacentral:tRNA from 1 species
GGGCCCAUAGCUCAGCGGUAGAGCAGUCGGCUCAUAACCGAUCGGUCCUUGGUUCGAACCCAAGUGGGCCCACCA